rnacentral:rRNA from 1 species
UACGUAGGGAGCAAGCGUUGUCCGGAAUCAUUGGGCGUAAAGCGCGCGUAGGUGGCUUCGUAAGUCCGUUGUGAAAGUCAAAGGCUCAACCUUUGAAAGCCGAUGGAUACUGCGGAGCUAGAGUACGGAAGAGGCGAGUGGAAUUCCUGGUGUAGCGGUGGAAUGCGCAGAUAUCAGGAGGAACACCAAUAGCGAAGGCAGCUCGCUGGGACGCUACUGACACUGAGGCGCGAAAGCGUGGGGAGCGAACAGG